rnacentral:lncRNA from 1 species
AGAAAAUCUGGUCAAAUCCUCCCUUCCAGCGAAAGGCAGAAGCAAGUGCAUGGACCAUGCAGCACAGCCAAGCUUGGCUACACUCAGAGCACACAGGCUCAUGGCUGGCAUGAAGAGAGUGCCAGAGAAAGUGGAUGGAGGGAGGCAGGAUAGGAAGGUGCAGCUCACGUUGGGCCUUGUGGGUGUUUGGAUGUUUUUCUGGCGGAGUUAAGAAGCAAUUGGAAGACUUUGAGGAGAGGAGCAACAUGAUCUGAAUUGUUUUUGAAAAUCAUUCUGAAUUCUUUGAAAAUAAACUCCAUUACCUUGAUUAAUUCAUUGUUCAUCUCAGGGACUCAGUUUCUGUAUCACUAAAAUGAAAAAGGUGGAGUAGCUGGAGCCUGCUCUCCCUGACAGCACAGAUCUUACAGAAUGUAAUGAUCGCCCUGAACCUGAAGGCCUCUUCUCCUGGUACUACCCCAACUCACUCAUGGCUGCACCCACACUUCCCUGCCCUUCCGAGAUCCUGAUCUCCGUGGUGCAGGUUGUUGGGAGCUCAGCCAUUGGCUAGUCUUUGGAAUAAAGGAAGGAAGGAAUGAUUGCAGCUCAAAGUGCAGCUGGGUUCUUGACCCACAAGCAGCCUCCUUCUGGAGUCAUCGUAGAGCAGAGUUCCUCUGUCAUUUACUGCAAGCUUUAUUGGGAAAUUCCUUGUGAUUGCUGCAUAAAAAAUACUGUCUUGGUAAUGUUGUUCGGUUAUACAAGAUGAAGCAUUAGGGAAACCCCGCACUCCUACUACAGCCAGAUACACUGCCCCAAAAAACAAGAAAGAGAAGCACUAAGUUUCUCGUGGUGAGAUUAUUCAGUGGAGAAAGACGGAGAAUCCCCCUCAACCAGUUAACAACAAAUCUUGCUUCUGAUGAUGCCCAGCACUUUUGAUACCCC